CCUACGGGUUGCAGCAGUGAGGAAUAUUGCGCAAUGGGGGCAACCCUGACGCAGCUACGCCGCGUGUGGGAAGAAGGCUUUCGGGUUGUAAACCACUUUUGCCCGGGACGAAAGGGGGGGCCUGAAUAAGGUCACCCGAUGACGGUACCGGGAGAAUAAGCCACGGCUAACUCUGUGCCAGCAGCCGCGGUAAGACAGAGGUGGCAAGCGUUGUUCGGAGUUACUGGGCGUAAAGAGUCUGUAGGUGGUCUGUCAAGUCUUUGGUGAAAGGCCGUGGCUUAACCAUGGGAAUGCCAAAGAGACUGGCGGACUGGAGGCUGGGAGAGGGAAGCGGAAUCUCUGGUGUAGCGGUGAAAUGCGUAGAUAUCAGAAGGAAGGCCGGUGGCGAAGGCGGCUUCCUGGAACAGACCUGACACUGAGAGACGAAAGCGUGGGGAGCAAACAGGAUUAGAUACCCUUGUAGUC
rnacentral:rRNA from 1 species